UUAUCAGUUUUUCAGGCUAAGCACUUUUUUUUAACUUUACGCUGGAAAGUCUCCCGGGGCUUGAGCCGGCAACCUUCAGGUUGCACGGUCAAGCCUUUAGCUGCCGUUUUGUUGCCCCGGACAAACAGAUGUCCGCUCAUCCGUGUUCGGCGCGACAGUUUGAGGAGCGUGGCGCUGUCGGUAUACGGUCUGCGCGGGGCGUUAGCCGCCCGCCACGCAACUGUUGGUACGAGUGACGUGGUGCGCGUGUAUGCGUGUGUGCCGGGUGUGGCUGGAGGUAUUACGAAGUCAGGGGAAGAGCUCGAUCUCGCCGGUCGCCAAGCUCUCCGCGCUCUCUGCGCUCGCCGCCACCGUCUGCACAGUCCCUCCUCCGUGGGAUGCUUAUGAGGAUUGGCUCUGGACCCCGGCGAUCCUGACCGGGACAAAGGGUUGCUGAGAAUGACUGGAUGGAUAUACAUCUGGGUAAUUCCAGUGGAGCAAUUUAGGGUGGCAGAAACGCUGCGCAAUGGAAGAACACGAGGCCAUGCGGACGCCCUCCCCAGCCUCUCCUUCGAGUGCCCGAUCUUCGGUCCGGGAGAGAGGAUGCUGCGGCGGAGGUGUCCAGGCUGCCCCUCCCCCAGCCGCACGUCCAGCUUCCUGGCUUGGGACAGCAGCUCCUCCUGGGCGUCCUGCCACUUCAUCAGCAGGCGAAGCGUCAGCCUGCCCCCCGGGAGCCCGUAAUGCCAUCAGCCGUACUUAUAACUUUGAUUAUGCGUCACAAUGC